GGACGCCAAGAACAUGAUAUGCGUCGUGGACCCGUGCCACGGUCGCUACCUGACGGCGUCCGCCAUGUUCUGCGCCAAGAUGAGCAGCAGGGAGGUGGACGAGCAGAUGCUUAACGUGCCAAACAAUGACUCCUACUUCGGACUCGAUCUCCAACAACGUUCAGUCCACGGAUGUGCCUCUUUUGGGAGUGAAUUAUACUUUUACUCAAUUAGGAUAUUGUGUUUCUUUGGAUCUUUGUUUGAUUAAUGAUUUUUUGGAUGAGAGUGUGGCUACAGGAUGAAGCAAUGCAGUUUUUUAUGGAACACACAUGUGCAGUAUACAAAUGGACCAUCAGGUUGCGGGUAUGUUUUUUAGACAAAUUAUUCCAUUUUUUCUAUUUUGUUGUUCCAUCGAGUCUAAUUGGAUUGGGAAUGCACAUGCUAACUAUACCACUAGAACAUUAGAUCAUGUUGUUUUUGGACAAAUAAUUUUAUUUUUCCGUUCCAAAUUUCUCCCAUUAAGUCUAACUGGAUUCAAGUGUGAUAUUAGAAAUCACCAAGGGACAAAUCAUGGUGGCAUUUGAGGUUGUUCUUUCUAACUGUCAUGUUAUUUUUGUUGGGACUUCAUUAUAAAGAUUGAUGUUUCAUAAUGAUUUUCAAUAUUGGUCCACUCUGUUUAAGUACUAAAGAUGAAUUAACAAUUUUAGUUGUCUUGAUGUCAUCUUUCUAUAGCCUAAUACUAUUUCCCUCUUUUGUAUCGAACUAGAGCAAAAUAGCACCCCUACUUAUUAUAGAAUAGACUCCAUAGCUUCGCCAUAAUUUGCAUCUAUGCAAAAAUGAUUGUUUGUAUGUUUCAGGGAAGAAAUUUCUAGCUUUAUUUACUUUUAUCAAAACAAUUAGUAUAAGUAUCACAUCGUACUGAAUAAAACCUGCUGCAUUUGCCAAGAACCUGCAACUUUGAAAGUGCUAAGGAUAUACCCAUGUUCAUUUCUGCUAAAAAUUAGCUUCAUAUGCAUCAUUGAAACUUCAUAAAUCAAUUCAUCAUCUACAACCAUUCAGCACACCCUUGCCAACAUUCAUGACACAGAAAGUUAGUGUAGAAAUAUAUGGCAGGGCUAGAGCAUUUCAGUUAUACUACCAGGUACAAAUACACAAUUAUUUUCUCUUGUCACUAACAUGUGUUACAGAACAUUAACCAUUUAUUUUACUUUACAAUAUUUUCUUAUGCACGAUAUCUUUGACGCUGCUGGAUGGCUCGCAUGCUCAAUUUACAUGCAUUAGAAAUUUUUUAGUGCAUUCCAAUUCUAUCAACCUACAGGUAUCCAUUCUUUCCUUUUCUAUUUGCAUAUAUGUAGCAACCCACUUUUCUAUUUGCAUAUAUAUAUGUAGUGUGUCUUCAGAUAUAUUGAAUUGUGGUAAUAUUAUUAUUAUUAUCCUUUUCGUUGCAGAGCAUUCCAUUAAUCCAACCUUAUUCCAGAGUAGUUCUGUGCACUUUAAAGCCGAACGUUUGUGGAUCCAGAAAGAAGAAAAUUUUGUAUGUAUAUAUGUGUAGAUCCAGGUGAUCGCUAUUGUUAGCUUUUGUUUACAAUGGUCGCCACCCAAAAAAGUUGUAACUCGCUCAUUUCUAGACUUGUGAAUAAUGUUGUUAGCACUAUGUUUGCUUUUGCAGUGACAC